rnacentral:rRNA from 1 species
CCUACGGGAGGCAGCAGUGGGGAAUUUUGGACAAUGGGCGCAAGCCUGAUCCAGCAAUGCCGCGUGCAGGAUGAAGGCCUUCGGGUUGUAAACUGCUUUUGUACGGAGCGAAACGGUCAUUUCUAAUAAAAAUGGCUAAUGACGGUACCGUAAGAAUAAGCACCGGCUAACUACGUGCCAGCAGCCGCGGUAAUACGUAGGGUGCGAGCGUUAAUCGGAAUUACUGGGCGUAAAGCGUGCGCAGGCGGUUUUGUAAGACAGAUGUGAAAUCCCCGGGCUCAACCUGGGACCUGCAUUUGUGACUGCAAAGCUAGAGUACGGUAGAGGGGGAUGGAAUUCCGCGUGUAGCAGUGAAAUGCGUAGAUAUGCGGAGGAACACCGAUGGCGAAGGCAAUCCCCUGGACCUGUACUGACGCUCAUGCACGAAAGCGUGGGGAGCAAACAGGAUUAGAUACCCUGGUAGUCCACGCCCUAAACGAUGUCAACUGGUUGUUGGGUCUUUGCUGACUCAGUAACGAAGCUAACGCGUGAAGUUGACCGCCUGGGGNGGACGGCCGCGAGUAGUAACGUACGAAUAGAAGUUAGUACGGCGUGAGACGUUAGCCGACGGACGACGACGAGGGAGGAGGG